UUGCUGCAAGCCUGGCUUUGGUGAUUCUCACCUCAUCAUUUUUUUUUUUUUUUUCCUGAGGCAGCACACUGCAAAUUUAGGAGUUUAACAUCCUGUCUUUUAGCUGUGCUGCUCCGUGUUGUUGUUCUCCAGCAGCAUGUCCAAAACAAAGGGGAUUGCUCCUUCCAUUGGUGGGGUGCAAGUUAUGGGGGCCCUCGAGGAGUGGGAGAACAUGGUUCUGCUCCUUCCCCUGCUACAACAGGGGCAUGCCCAUGCUGAUGAGGGGUGGAAGUGAUGGCAUGCUGCCCUGGAGGUGACAAAGGCUAAGCUGCAGGCUUUGAGCAUCACCUGUCUGCAUGCAAACAGAACUCCAAGCAAAACAGCAAAGUGGCUGUUGGGCAUCUGAGGCAUCCCAUGCAGAACUGAUGACAUGAAAUGGCUGAACUGGAGCCAGAGGCUGAGACUUCCUACACCACAGCAAGGAUCAGGCCCUCCUCCUCCUUGGGGAAUGUGCUCCAGCCCCAGGGAGUCUUCUUUCCUGCAGAGCAUAGUAACUGGAACUUGAAAUUAAUGCUGGCACUUUUUUUUUUUUUCUUUUUUUCCCUUGUCCUGAUGUGGGUCUUGCCUUCCUGCAUGUGACCAUGAGCUGCCUCCAGAAGUGGUGUGGUUCUGGCAGCUGAUGCCCUACAGAAUUAGGGGCCUGCAGCAGGGUUACAUCUUUAGUUUGCCUUGGAAAGCUCUACCUGUCAGCCUCUCACUUCCAGACAAUACUCCUCCAGCCGUGCCCAGGGGAAGAAAGUGGCACUGCAGAGGCUGCCGUUGCUUGUAUGAACAGUUAGCACCAGCCUUCAGAGCUGUCACGUUAAGGAUGCAGCUUGGAUGUAGCUGUAUCAUAGCUGUGCCCAUCACUCACAGGCACGUGCUUUCAUGCCCCAUAUUUCAUGCCUCAGACUAUUUUUAAUAAUUGAUAUUAACACUUUACAAUGGGGGAAAUGGAUAACAGGCCAUCAUUUACCCACUGCAUCAAUAAUAAAUGGAGCAAUGCCAAAACACAUCAAUAACAAACUUGUUUGUCCUCCUCUCAUAUUCACAGUGCUCCAGGCCUGCAGAGGUAGAGCACGGGCAGGUGAUCAGGCAAGGUACCAGCAGAGAAAGCAAUAAGCUGGGAAAACAGAGGGGGACAGAGUGGCACAACACAACCUUUCAUGAGUCUCAAAGUUGGACAAAGCUCUGGGUGCUAUGUGAAAGCCACACAUGCUAUUUCCUGCAAGAACACCUCCACAACACCCCCCCUCCCCCGCUUUUUUUUUCCUGGUUAAUGCUGCAUCACCUAAAAACUGAAAACUUGAGCAAACGGUUUCUGACACAAAUACAGACCCACGUUCCCUGAGCCCCUUCUUGUCGUGCUGAUGCUGGCACCAUCCCAGCGACGAGCACAGCAGAUGCUGGAACAUCUGUGCUAACUGCACUGCUGUGGGCUCCCAUGUAGCACAGACUCAGCAUGGGGGCAGACCACAUUAACUAUGGGUGCAUUUACAGUAAUGUUUUCUUUCAGAUUGGGGCUGUGAUGCCUGACUGACUUUAAUGGGCAUCUGUGUUGCAAGAUCAGACCAGAGCUACACAAAGUAAAACCCUAAAAUAGGUAUAGCAUGGAUGUAGAACAACCUUUUCACUCUAUGAAUCCACUGCUCUAGUACUGCACUACUGCUUCAAGUAGAUGCUCUCUGGUCAGCUCCUCAGCAGAGGAGAAAUGCGUGAUUUGGAGCAUGGCAACCGAUUAUCUUAGCUCAUGUUAAACCUUGUAGUUCCUCAUUUCUUGCGGUCUUUGAACUGGUUUCCAGCUUGUCUGUGUGUGGUUGCUGCAAGGGAAGCUUGUGGGUCUAUGUGCAAUGCUCUGCUAUUCUUUGUUGCUAACACAAUUUGUCUUUUCUCUUUCCUUUGUCGAACUGCAAGCUUUUCCUAGGCUCCUCUGCUUCUAGUAUUGGCCUCAACCGAACAUGCUGGCAAUGUACCUGGUACUGGUUUUCUUCUGUAGUUCGUGUAUAUGAAACGUCUUCAUAUCUGCUGGGGCUAUGCAGCCAACACCUUUUCCUAGAACUGCUUACUACUGCAAACAUGACAUUGAUUUCACCUGGGUUGUGUCUCUCCUUCCACAACAGCCACCCUGUGCCUUGUCCCUGGGUACUUGUUGCAGCUGAGUGGCUGCUCUUUGGGUUGUGCCCAUGGGUACUUCUAUCCUGGCUGCCUGGAGCCAUCUCUCUAGCAUCACACCUCCUGAUGUUCACAGCUUUCUCUAUCUGCAGGAAUCCUUCCUGAAAGCCAACGUCUCUAAACUAGUUGCAACAGAUUCAGGUCAACUGCAGGUGUUUCAGCUUUGUACCUUGUUAAUCCCAUCGCUAACUCUUGGCCCAAUAUGCCCCAUGCCUUGCACUGUCCUGGCUACCACUCUUGCUGUUCUUACCACAGUUGGCUGACGCAGGAGCUGGAACUUGUUCUUGAAGGGCAGAGCACCUGGGAGAUCUGUGUGUAACUGGUCUACCUUCUGGCUCCUGCUGGGACAACCUCUGCUGUUUGUACCUGCAUCUUGCAACUUGUCACUUCCGUGAGAAACUCUCCUGGUGGCAGGUGCUUCUGUGUCUCUGCAUAAAGGAGCUGAACCAGUGCUGCAGGAGUGACCUGUGGAUGUUAUGGCUCAGCAUGAGACCUGUAUACCCGCUGACAGCCACCUGGUGUGGGCUCAGCACUGUGGCCUGCAGAAAUUGUCUGGAUGACUUAUGAGAACGCAUCCAGCCUCACAGCUAAGGAACGUUAGCAAUGUCUUGCCUGCUCUGUCAUCAUGUGGAUCAUGCACAUCUUUCUGCUCGGUGGCCUGCCUUCACAGUGGAGGGUUGUUACCCUAUGCUGUCCAUGAGCACAGCCCUUUAGGGAGAUGGAAGCUGCAUUUACGAAUUCUCCCAGGCAGAAGAGAGAAGUGAACCUGGAUCCCCCCAUUUCAUGGUUGAGUACUCCGAACGCUUGAAAAUGCUUUAAACUCUAGGCAUCCUAAAAAAACAACAACAACAACAACAAAAAAAAGGAAAGUGAUUCUGAAUCUGAUUCUGAAAGACAGGGGUGAGUUGUGGGUCCCAAGUGAACGGCAGCAGCAAUAUGCAGGCCUUUGUCACAAGAUGCAUUUCAGACUCCCUCCUGUGCUCAGCAUUCCCUGCAGACCAGCCAGAGGCAGCUGCACCACGUGCGUGCUGAAUCCAGGCCACUCUCCUUGCUGGCCAUUACGGAUCCAUCCCACCACAUGCUUUGCCGCAGCACCAUGACUUCUCCUUACGGCGGCCCGAAGAAGGAAGCCCCUGCUCCCCGGGAUGCACACUGUGCAGCAUGGCCCUUUCCAAGAGGGUUUGUGUUGUGCCGAGCCUCGGCCGACCCUGCCACAUGGGAAGGAGCCACGGCCCCUCGUAGGCUGUCUGAUCCGCUGACACCGAUUCCUCUGAGCAUCACAGGGCUGUCUGCUCCACAUUUGAUAUCACUGAAAUAAACAGUAUUGCUUGAGAAGCAGUACAUGUGAUAAAGGUUUU